rnacentral:rRNA from 1 species
UACGGGUGGCAGCAGUGGGGAAUAUUGCACAAUGGGCGAAAGCCUGAUGCAGCUAUGCCGCGUGUAUGAAGAAGGCCUUAGGGUUGUAAAGUACUUUCAUCGGGGAGGAAAAACAAAACUAAUAAUUUUAUUUCUUGACGUUACCCGAAAAAGAAGCACCGGCUAACUCCGUGCCAGCAGCCGCGGUAAUACGGAGGGUGCUAGCGUUAAUCAGAAUUACUGGGCGUAAAGAGCACGUAGGUGGUUUUUUUAAGUCAGAUGUGAAAUCCCUGGGCUUAACCUGGAACUGCAUUUUGAAACUGAAAUACUAGAGUAUCGUAGAGGGAGGUAGAAUUCUAGGUGUAGCGGUGAAAUGCGUAGAUAUCUGGAGGAAUACCUGUGGCGAAAGCGGCCUCCUAAACGAAUACUGACACUGAGGUGCGAAAGCGUGGGGAGCAAACAGGGAUUAGAUACC